CGUUACUAACUACGCGCUUCAUACCAAGUGAUCGGAUCUUGAGAUCAGAGAACCUA
rnacentral:tRNA from 1 species